ACAAAUCGUAUCUAUUAGUGACAAAUGUAUUCGUUGGCAAAAUAGCUGCUCGCGCUUUACUGUAGCUAGAGAUCUACAAUAAGUGGUCGAAUCAUAACAGUGCAGAAGGAUUAGUAUAUCUUUUCGCUCCUAGCCGCGCAAUCAAUGCCUUUCUUUCCAAGCAAGAUGUACUGCUGUUUGGCUCCCAUCGGCGGGGAAAAGAGUACUAUCUGCUUACGGUGAUGGUGACAAGAAAUAAAGCUGAUUGUGGCUCCACUGAUUUCGCUCAGGGGGGAGGAGAAUGCUGUGCAUAUACCGGGAAGGAGAUUACCAGAUCCAGAAGAUCCGGAAAGGGCUUUUGCAAGUAACUAGCAUAAAUGCUAGAGCAAAAAAAACUUGACAAUGAUCGCAACAGGAAAGUAACCAGUUGCGAUGGAUGUGAUAAUCAAAGGAAAUCCUGAGCCUUGAGUUUUGUGUCUCUGACUUCUGUGUUACAUGAAUAAAUUUGAAGCAACAAAAAGUAAAAAAAAACUGUCGGAAACGAAUGAAUCGUUAGAUUUAAAGUCUCCGUAAACAAAGGAAAAGAAGAAGAAGAAUAAAUCUGAAAGCUACGUCUCGCUAUUCGUCUCACGUCUUGCCCUGAAAG